rnacentral:lncRNA from 1 species
GUGUGCAAACACAGAUUACGUUCACAAGAGAUUUAUUGCAUUUGGUUGACUGGUUUUAUUAUGGUCUCAGACAUUGUUAGCUGAAAACUGCAUUUCUGAAACUUGAGGAGGGUGAACAAGUCUUGCUUUGCUCUUAACUUGCAUCUAUCCAUGUCAAUAUCAGUACAGGACUGACACUUCUUCUAACAUUACACAUAAUACAAUACCUUAUGCUUACACUUCUGGCCGUUGGCUAGAUCAUAGCAAGCAUGCUUUUACAAGUGACAGUGGUGUAUCCCUUACAGUGGUGUUGCGAGGCAGAUAACAAGCAGCCAUAAUUAUGAUCGAUUUGUAAGUCAGCACAAAAUGCUUUUGCAGGAAACAAUGUUUAUAAUUGACAAUAUGUGUUUUGUUAAAAGUUAGAUGAGCAUAAUUAACCGUUUUGAUGUCUGUUUUUUCCCAUGUUUAAAGAGUGUAACAGCAUACUGAAGACAAAAUUUGAUCUCAAAUCAGUAAGAAUGUUAUGCUACACACUUAACCAUUCAAAGUAAGAUCAUAUAACAACAAGAUCCAGUAAGAAACACUUCUCUUUGGCAUUCAAGUGCUCUAACGCAAGUCAUGUGGGGCCCUCAUGACAAAGAGCUUUCAUCAGUUUACCACCAUCAGUGGUUUUUUGGCAAAGGUAGAUCUUUCCUAUUAUUCAGCGCCACCAACUGUAAAGGGGCUAGUUGGACAAGACAUGAUUCAUAUGACUGGCAGUUGCUGAAUGUACCACGGCUAUGAUUUCAGAACCUAACACCAUCCUUUAUAAGGAGCCAAAACAACGACAAUUUCAUUCCCUCACUGGGACUGAAGCCAGUGUGCAUGCAGGAUUUCUUUCCCUGGACGUGUUCAACUGACUUUACUACAACAUGGGAUCAAGGAUGUUUUUGCUGUUGGUUCUUGCACUGCUUAUAUUUACUGAUCACAGCCGAGGGGUUCCUGAGACACACGAUCAAUCCUUGAUCGUCAAUUUAUCCGCUGAUGCCUCUGAUGUUGGAGAACCACUGACUACUGCAAAUCCAGUCAACGCCCCAAGACAGAACCACCAAGAGUGCUGUAAAGGAAAGGGAAAAGAGAUGGUGAGUUGUCGUUGUCAGCAGUCUGCCAGACGCAACAAUAUCGGGCAUGGAAAAAUGAAAAGGAAGUGCCACAAGAAAAACAAUAAGAAUCUGAAGAAAUGCAUGGUUGUCAAACAGAACAGGGGUAACACCAAGAAGUAUGGUCCCAGUGUCCCCAUAUGA